AAGGUUCAUCGGUGAAAUAUUCUCUAAUCAAACCACCUUGAAUAUGUUUCCACAAAAUUCGAAAUAUCUCCAAAUUCAGAUCUUUUUGAACAGAAACUGAAUGUAGAUCUGUAUUUGCUGUGGUCGAAUGCACCUUCUAUUACAUUUUCAAACCAAAAAUGUUUUUCCUUGGGCAUUGUCAUUUUUGUAUCUUGACAUAGCUCUGAUGUCAUUGAUUCAAUAGUCUUUUUCCACAUUUAAUUAAGAAAUAUUUUACACCAAAAAACCCCCUUCAUCAUGAAUACAGGCCAAGUCACUACCAUUUUAUUGGUGGGAAGACACGACGCUGAGAGAGCUCAAAGAAGGCAUUAUUCAAGUGUUGUUGCGUGUCCACCUACUAUUCCGGAACUGCGUAAAUUCAUGUUGAAGAAAGAUAGACUCAAAGAGAGAAAACAUUUAAGAGGACGGGCCCUUAUGUCGCAUUUUGAUUUGCAAUGUAAUUGAAAAUAGAUCUAUCGAUAUGA